AUAAAGUUCCUUUGGGUAAGAAGUACUACUUGUCAUCAAAAUGGAUAAAAGGAGAUGUAUCUAGAUGUAUUUUAGUUCUAGAUAUGUCCCUUUUUAUCCAUUUUUAUGACAAGUAUUUUCGGACGGAGGGAGUUUAUA
rnacentral:pre_miRNA from 1 species